AACGUCACUGGGUCUCACAUUUCAGUGAAGGACACCCAGCCAUAGAAAAGACCUGCGGAUGCCCCUGGAGAGGCACAGGAAGGACUGGGUGAAGGUCUCAAGCAGACAGCAGAUUCCUGAGAUCCCACCCUGAACAUGGACUUGCGAUUCUGUGAGAUGAUGUCACAACCUAAACAGAAAGAGAAGAGAGAGAGAGCUGAACAUGGACGUUCACAGUCUCUGCUGUCUGGCUGCAGAAACCCCGUGUAUCGCUACCUCGCGCUCCCGCUGCUCCCGUGAUACACUGCAUCCCGUCAUGCCAUGAACCUAUACAAUCCCUUCUUUCCCUAAGUUGUCUCUGCCUGCUAUUUGCCACAUCAGUGAAAAAUGAAAGUACAUAGAAAACGCAGUAUUGAGGCGCAGCGAUGUCACUGCGAGCAACCUG
rnacentral:lncRNA from 1 species